UACGUAGGUGGCAAGCGUUGUCCGGAUUUACUGGGCGUAAAGGGCGUGCAGGCGGUUUGUUAAGUCUAGGGUGAAAGCUCCCGGCUCAACUGGGAGAGGUCCUUGGAUACUGGAUGGCUUGGAUUCGGGAGAGGAAUGCGGAAUUCCAGGUGUAGCGGUGAAAUGCGUAGAUAUCUGGAGGAACACCGGUGGCGAAGGCGGCAUUCUGGACCGACAUUGACGCUGAGGAGCGAAAGCCAGGGGAGCAAACGGG
rnacentral:rRNA from 1 species